ensembl:snRNA U2 U2 spliceosomal RNA
UUCACUUCUCGGCCUUUUGGCUAAGAUCAAGUGUAGUAUCUGUUCUUAUAUUAAAAACACAGAACAAAGAUUAAAACACCAAUA